rnacentral:rRNA from 1 species
CUGGAUCUCUCGGGGUUACAGCCUUGCUGAAUUAUUCACCCUUGUCUUUUGCGUACUUCUUGUUUCCUUGGUGGGUUCGCCCACCACUAGGACAAACAUAAACCUUUUGUAAUUGCAAUCAGCGUCAGUAACAAAUUAAUAAUUACAACUUUCAACAACGGAUCUCUUGGUUCUGGCAUCGAUGAAGAACGCAGCGAAAUGCGAUAAGUAGUGUGAAUUGCAGAAUUCAGUGAAUCAUCGAAUCUUUGAACGCACAUUGCGCCCUUUGGUAUUCCAAAGGGCAUGCCUGUUCGAGCGUCAUUUGUACCCUCAAGCUUUGCUUGGUGUUGGGCGUCUUGUCUCUAGCUUUGCUGGAGACUCGCCUUAAAGUAAUUGGCAGCCGGCCUACUGGUUUCGGAGCGCAGCACAAGUCGCACUCUCUAUCAGCAAAGGUCUAGCAUCCAUUAAGCCUUUUUUCAACUUUUGACCUCGGAUCAGGUAGGGAUACCCGCUGAACUUAAGCAUAUCAAUAAGCGGAGG